rnacentral:rRNA from 1 species
AGAGUUUGAUCAUGGCUCAGGAUGAACGCUGGCGGCGUACCUAAUACAUGCAAGUCGAACGAGGUGCUUGAGUAGCAAUACAAGAGUAUCCUAGUGGCGAACGGGUGAGUAACGCGUGGGUGACCUACCCCAAAGUGUGGGAUAACAGUCCGAAAGGAUUGCUAAUACCGCAUGUGGUCUCCGGGUUUAGAAACCGGCGACUAAAGCAGCAAUGCGCUUUGGGAGGGACCUGCGUCCCAUCAGCUAGUUGGUGAGGUAAUGGCUCACCAAGGCGACGACGGGUAGGGGACCUGAGAGGGUGACCCCCCACAAUGGAACUGAAACACGGUCCAUACACCUACGGGUGGCAGCAGUAGGGAAUAGUGCACAAUGGGCGAAAGCCUGAUGCAGCAACGCCGCGUGCGCGAUGAAGGCCUUCGGGUCGUAAAGCGCUUUUCUGAGAGAUGAGAAAGGACAGUAUCUCAGGAAUAAGUCUCGGCUAACUACGUGCCAGCAGCCGCGGUAAAACGUAGGAGGCGAGCGUUAUCCGGAUUCACUGGGCGUAAAGCGCGUGCAGGUGGCUUGGUAAGUUGGGCGUGAAAUCUCCCGGCUCAACUGGGAGAGGUCGUCCAAUACUACCAAGCUUGAGAGCAGAAGAGGAAGAUGGAAUUCCCGGUGUAGUGGUGAAAUGCGUAGAUAUCGGGAGGAACACCAGUGGCGAAGGCGGUCUUCUGGUCUGUUUCUGACACUCAGACGCGACAGCUAGGGUAGUAAACGGGAUUAGAGACCCCGGUAAUCCUAGCCGUAAACGAUGUGAACUUGGCGUUGGUGGGUUAAACUCCAUCAGUGCCGAAGCUAACGCGAUAAGUUCACCGCCUGGGGACUACGGCCGCAAGGUUAAACUCAAAGGAAUUG